AGCAGCCGCGGUAAUUCCAGCUCCAAUAGCGUAUAUUAAAGUUGUUGCAGUUAAAAGCUCGUAGUUGAAUUUCGGGAUCGAGGGAUCGGUCAUGCCUUGGUAUGUACUGAUCUCAUCGGUUCUCACCUUCUAAAGAACCAUAAUGUCAUUCAUUUGAUGUUAUGGGGAAUUAGGACUGUUACCUUGAAAAAUUAGAGUGUUUAAAGCAGGCUUACGCUUGAAUACAUUAGCAUGGAAUAAUGAAAUAGGACAUCAGAUUCUAUUUUGUUGGUUUCUAGGAUCGAUGUAAUGAUUAAUAGGGAUAGUUGGGGGCAUUAGUAUUCAAUUGUCAGAGGUGAAAUUCUUGGAUUUAUUGAAGACUGACUACUGCGAAAGCAUUUGCCAAGGAUGUUUUCAUUAAUCAAGAACGAAAGUUAGGGAUCGAAGACGAUCAGAUACCGUCGUAGUCUU
rnacentral:rRNA from 1 species